GUGCUCCUUUGCAUCACAUAUACUAAAGUUGAACAAUACAGAAAAGAUUAUCAUGGCCCUCGCACAAGGAUGGCACCAAAUUCACGGAACAUUAUAUACACAUAU
ensembl:snRNA U6 U6 spliceosomal RNA